rnacentral:rRNA from 1 species
UACGUAGGGUGCAAGCGUUGUCCGGAAUUAUUGGGCGUAAAGAGCUCGUAGGCGGUUCGUCGCGUCGGCUGUGAAAACCCGGAGCUCAACUCCGGGCCUGCAGUCGAUACGGGCAGACUAGAGUUCGGUAGGGGAGACUGGAAUUCCUGGUGUAGCGGUGAAAUGCGCAGAUAUCAGGAGGAACACCGGUGGCGAAGGCGGGUCUCUGGGCCGAUACUGACGCUGAGGAGCGAAAGCGUGGGGAGCGAACAGG